rnacentral:RNase_P_RNA from 1 species
AGAGUUGGUGAGGUAGUUGCAAGUUAAAGUUUUCCUGUGAAUUUAGCUUGAGGAAAGUCCGGACUUCCGAAAGAUCAGACUUGCUGGGUAAUGCCCAGUGCGUGCGAGCGUGAGGAUAGUGCCACAGAAAUAUACCGCCUUUUGAUAAAGGUAAGGGUGCAAAGGUGCGGUAAGAGCGCACCAGCAGUAUCGAGAGGUACUGGCUCGGUAAACCCCGGUUGGAAGCAAGGUCGGAGGAAUGAAGGUUGAUCUUUUUCCUAUUCCGCUUCUGGUGUACCGCUUGAGGUGUUUGGUAACAGGCACCCCAGAUAGAUAACUACCCCCGAUGAGGGAACAGAAUCCGGCUUACGUCCAACUCUCUGU